CGAACCCCAGGAGUGAGGGCGCACAGCCGGGACGAGGAAGCGGCGGUCGGAAACCCCGCACCAGCGCUGCCAGCUUGCGGUCCGACGUGGGCUCAGCGCCCUGGGCGCGGAUUGAAUACAUGAUAAAUUGGUCUAAAAUGACCGAGUUUUCAUCUCAGUAAGACACGGAAGCCAUCCCAGAAGUUCUGCAUCCAGCUUAACUUAAAAAAAAAAUCAGCCUGUGCCUCCCUACAUCAAAACUGGAACAAUUACUAUAGCUGAGAAGUGAGACUCCCCACUUCUGAGAAAGAGGAAGGAAGGGUCCACCAUGACUGCUUCCAUCAACUGUUAUUCCCAGCCCCUGUAAGUAUUUGAAUAUGUGAACCUUUGAGCAUGUAAUUUCUAGAGACUAUUCCAGCAAUAAAAUGUUAUGAAUCUCUGACUUAAGUUGUUUCAAUAAAAGCAAAAGACUGUAGAUAAUAAUUGUUCAAGUACAUUAUAGGUGAAAAUAGACUUUGCUUGGAUAACCGGACAACAAAAACACCAUUUAGAAUAUAGUAAUUGUGUAUUUUUACAGGGACAAAGGGCA
rnacentral:lncRNA from 1 species